AUUGAACGCUAGCGGGAUGCCUUACACAUGCAAGUCGAACGAGUGGCGGACGGGUGAGUAAUCUAUCGGAACGUGCCCAGUAGCGGGGGAUAACUACUCGAAAGAGUGGCUAAUACCGCAUACCAUUUGAGCUGCCGAUAUCGGAUUCGCUAGUAGGUGGGGUAAAGGCUCACCUAGGCAACGAUCCCUAGCUGGUGUGGGCGGACGACCAGCCACACGGGAACUGAGACACGGCCCAGACUCCUACGGGAGGCAGCAGUGGGGAAGUUUGGACAAUGGGUGAAACCCUGAUCCAGCCAUCCCGCGUGUAUGAGAAGGCCUUCGGGUUGUAAAGUACUUUUGGCGGGGAGGCGGUAUCUGCAGAAGAAGCACCGGCUAACUACGUGCCAGCAGCCGCGGUAAUUC
rnacentral:rRNA from 1 species